UUCGUCCUAAAAAAAGUCAGCAGCCUAUUCUGUUCGUCUUCCCCCCACGCCGCCAACGUCCGUCCUCCUCCCGACGAAUCUGCCGCCGAAGACUUAAUGCUCAUGAAAGAUAUGUGAUAAAUCCGAGCAGUCAAUGACCGAAAACUUCUCAAUGGAGCUCAUCCGCAUCCACACCAGUCGCUCUCCAUCCUAAUUCCUGGUUUUUUUACAGUCCUCGAUCCCUCGGUACAUCUUCCCAAUCCGGCAGGUACUUUCUGCGGAUUUCUUGGCUUGACAGGUCCUCCAAAUAAGAUGCUGGAGAUUUCUUUGGGUUCAUUCACUUCUCUGUCUGCUGGCCAUAAUCGCCUGAACUUUCUGCGGACAGAUUCUUACUUGAGUGCAUCUUAUUUGUUUUUCAGCCUCCAGGUAUAGAACAGGCCAGGUUGUUCAUGCAGCAAUAGGCUCGUCAGCGUGGCUGAUUUUCUGCUGUAGAUGCACUGGAUGAGGUAAGCACGGACUGUCCUUUCUCUUAAGUAUCUUUCCUUUCACUUCUCAUAUUUUACAUAUCUUGGAUUGCAUAAUAUAUCCUUUUCUUUCUCUGAAUACAUAGUAAAUUCUCUGUACAAUCUUCUCCUAGAUUGUUGUUCCCCAAAUUUCAUUGCAGGUUUGCCUAACGUCUUCAACAAUUGCCUUGCCUACUCCCGAUCCAUCAAGCGUUGUUGGUGUACUAAUAAAAGAGUAAUCCCAAUGAAAAUCAUCUGUUAUAUGUUCACCUGUAUUUUCAGUUCUGAGCAUUUGAUGUGCCAUAUAGUUUGGUUUCUUUCAUUACGUUUGAAAGCUCACAUGGACCUUUGGCAGAAUGGCAGAUAUAGUGUAAAUCUCCCCGACUGAUACAAUCGAUUGGUAUGUCAAGACACAUCUGUAUGCUUCCCUCUAUAUAAUGAAUGGUCGUUGCUCUUCUGUCUUUGCAAGACAACUUUUUAUAUUUAUAUUUAGUACUCCCUGCCCACAAAGUUAGCUUUAAAGGGCUCUUAUUUUCAAAAUAACUUCAUCAGGAUUUGGCAGCGGAAGUAUGUGCCAGUGAAGUGUUGUUAUCCUCUAUCAAGCAAAGAACAACACAAGAGCUGAGCUAUCAUACGGUGCACUCAUAAAAUAUUCAGGUUUCAGAGUCUCACAGGAGACCGUGAUGAACCGAGUUCUUUUCCUAAAGGGACAAAUUGCUUGCUAGCUUGAUGCAGAUUCUUUCUUUUAUUUUUUCCAUUGGUGCAGGUGGCGGUCAUAAGUGCAAAGGGAAAUAACUGACGUGUCCAGUAACAUGUCGUGGCAUUUUGCAUGUCUGUUAUUAUGCGGAUUUGGUUAGUAUUUGACAUCAGCCCUCAAGCUAUCUCGACCAUUAUAUUAGUCUAAAAGGGGGUUUCUCCGUACCCAUGUUCCAGCUUAGCUCUGUCCAGUUACUUGCUAUGAUUGUCAUUUUAAUGUUUACCUAUUCCGUUCGGCUUGAUCUGCCUACUAUGAGGAUUUAUGUAUGAUUGAUGUGAAUGUUCACUU